ensembl:snoRNA SNORD22 Small nucleolar RNA SNORD22
CACUAAUAAAUACACCUCUCCCACAUCUUUCUUCCUGUUUAAGCCCCAGAGCUUGUAAGGUGAACCCACUGGGGCUGGCUGAGAGAAAAACAUUUGUUCUAGGAGGAAUUGUCUAAGGAAU